AUUUUCAAAGGAAAACCAAAAAUAAAAAACUAUACCUAAACAUCAACUAACCCUCAAUUCCAAACUAAUUGUUGUUUAUUUUCAGAGGAUUUAUCAGAGCUUGACUAUCUUAAGCUGACAUCGACCUAUAAGCCGAUCAUUUAUAAGGGUUCGAGACUGACUAUGCUUUGCACAUUGAAGAGUUAAACCCAACAACAACAACAACAACAACCACAAGAAAAAACCAGAAAAUCCCACAAGUGGGUUCCGAGGAACGAAGAGUUAAAACCAAAAUAAUAAAAAGAAUAAAAAAUAUAAAAAUAUGAGUAUUCAAGCCCAUCAGCAAUCUAAUGUUUCUAUAUCAGCUUAUAAAAGAUAACAUAAGCAAUUAGGUAAAAUGAAGAACUAAACUUGUUUAUAACUUUUAACUUCAUUUCUUCAAUUUUGAGUUCAGUAAACCAACAUUAUCCUUCAACUUUCCACAUACUUUACAAGAAACAAAUACCCAAUAUUACAGAGCUUCAACUACAAUUCUCUUCAAUUUUAACAUAGGUAAUUAGGUCAAAAACAAAGAACUAAACUUAUUUAGGUUUAGUGUUAUUUUCUUCAAUUAAUUCCCACAAUUGUUCAACAAAAUCAAUUACCCAAUUCAAUACAGAAGUUUCAACUUCAGCAACAGUAAAUAAAUCCAACUUACACCUCACAUCAAAAAGCGUUGAAUCUAACAAUAAAGAAAGAACUAGGGAAGAAGGCUUACAGAAGUGAGAUCCAACAUAGAAGAGCGAGGAAGAUGAGUUGACCUUUGAAUUAGCUAAAGUUUUAAGGAUUGCCCAAUUGAUGAUGUUAUCCUCUGCUACUACUGGCUGAGCUUAUACCUUUGUUUGUUG
rnacentral:lncRNA from 1 species